AAGAUUAAAUUAAAAUAAGCUUCUAACUUAUUAGAAAUGGGUUUCCAUUUUAAUCUUU
rnacentral:tRNA from 1 species